UGCAGUGAAAAGACAAAACAAGAAGCAAGUGGCGCAAGCAUUUCAAGGGACUUCAAAGGCGCACAAAAGCGCAGUGGUAAUAAAUGCAGUUUUUGUGGUGCCCAGCGGCUGUUCAUGUCGAAAUUAUUGACAGUUAAAUGAACCGCAAAUUUAUUAUAGCCACAAGUCGUGCUGUCGGUGCCAGCCUUCACAUCCACAAAGCGGGGAUCACCCAAAGGUACUAAACUCAUUGUCAGCUGUAGCCGUGGAAAUAGCGAAUGAAAAAGAAACAAAAACACAGAACACAGACGCGCUCUUGGAAACCAUCUUCACAGCUGACAACUCGCCAAACGAAAUGAAACAGGUUGUUUUUUUGCACGUAAGGUGCGGUUUUUAUUUUUAUACACGCAUUACUGCACAGGUCUUCUUUCGAUUUCUUUCUGAGUUGGCAAUGAGCUCAGAAUUAAUUUUGCAACCAGGUUUUUUUUUUAAUAUUACUCAAGUAAAUUUAUAGCAAUUAUGUCAUAACGUUAUUAGUCAUAUUCUGUUUUGCUCUAUACUUUUUGUUGUUGUUAUUUAGCAAAUAAGAAAAAUUAUAAAUUAAUAAAGAUGAGCAAAUAAUUAUUGUA